AAUCUUCCGCAAUGGACGAAAGUCUGACGGAGCAACGCCGCGUGGGUGAUGAAGGUCUUCGGAUCGUAAAACCCUGUUGUAAGGGAAGAACAAGUAUUAGAGUAAUAUGCUAGUACCUUGACGGUACCUUACCAGAAAGCCCCGGCUAACUACGUGCCAGCAGCCGCGGUAAUACGUAGGGGGCAAGCGUUGUCCGGAAUUAUUGGGCGUAAAGGGCGCGUAGGCGGUUUCUUAAGUCUGAUGUGAAAGCCCCCGGCUUAACCGGGGAGGGUCAUUGGAAACUGGGAGGCUUGAGUGCAGAAGAGGAGAGUGGAAUUCCACGUGUAGCGGUGAAAUGCGUAGAGAUGUGGAGGAACACCAGUGGCGAAGGCGGCUCUCUGGUCUGUAACUGACGCUGAGGCGCGAAAGCGUGGGUAGCGAAC
rnacentral:rRNA from 1 species